ACUCAAAGGAAUAGACGGGGGCCCGCACAAGCAGCGGAGCAUGUGGCUUAAUUCGACGCAACGCGAAGAACCUUACCAAGGCUUGACAUACGCCGGAAAACCGUGGAGACACGGUCCCCCUUGUGGUCGGUGUACAGGUGGUGCAUGGCUGUCGUCAGCUCGUGUCGUGAGAUGUUGGGUUAAGUCCCGCAACGAGCGCAACCCUUGUUCUGUGUUGCCAGCACGUCCUUUCGGGGAUGGUGGGGACUCACAGGAGACUGCCGGGGUCAACUCGGAGGAAGGUGGGGACGACGUCAAGUCAUCAUGCCCCUUAUGUCUUGGGCUGCACACGUGCUACAAUGGCCGGUACAAUGAGCUGCGAUACCGCGAGGUGGAGCGAAUCUCAAAAAGCCGGUCUCAGUUCGGAUUGGGGUCUGCAACUCGACCCCAUGAAGUCGGAGUUGCUAGUAAUCGCAGAUCAGCAUUGCUGCGGUGAAUACGUUCCCGGGCCUUGUACACACCGCCCGU
rnacentral:rRNA from 1 species